GGGCAUGUAGCUCAGUGGCAGAGCGCCCGCUUUGCAUGAAAUCCUUCAAAUACGCAAGGAUGCGGGAGGUCUUGGGUUCAAUCCCCAACUUGUCCA